UUCCACUUGUUUCUGUUCUGUUAUACAAGCUGUUAAAUAAAUACAUUCUCCAAGUCACUCGAGUGCACACCUACUCGCUGUACAGAUGAGGUAGAGAAAUCGACAGGCUCGCACGAGACUCUGACACAGAGCCGAGUUCCCGGGUGUGAAUGCCCUUCUCCUCCCGCCCCUCGGACCAGGUGUCACCAAGUCCAAAGCCCACGUGUCCCGUGACUGGGCCGGCGGGGAGCAGGGGGCCGGACCUGCCUGGCCCUCAGCGUGGCUCCCGCCCCCGCAGCCCCCGACAGGCUGAGCCCACCACAGGACGCGUUUUCUUCUACAGAUUCUCUGCCACACGGAAGAGGAGCACAUUAACACAAGGCUCCAUUGGCGGGAGCUGCGCUUCACUUAGCAAAACAUUCUGAUAUAUAUUUAUUUAUACAUAAACCAGCCAGCAGACGUUUUCAGUCUGCCUUGUUUAAAAAAAUACUUUUCUUAAUAUUUAUGACAUAGAACUAAAUGUGGUAUUUGAUUAAAAAAAAUAGCCUUCCUCUGACUUUCCACCUUUCCUGACCCAGCAGUGACUGGCCACAGUCUCAUCCUGGAGCGUGGCAGCUCUGCCCGCUUGGGCCCCAGCAGGUGGGGACACUUGGGGACAAUCAGGAUGCACCCUAGUACCCCAAGCUGUCUCCAGCCAGGCCUGUAGGAGAUGGAGGCACAGACCCACAUCACUCACCACGAGGGAGCCCACCCUCUCUCCCUUCUGGUGGAUGGACCUCCGCAUGACCCCGUCUGCACACAGUUAUUCACGGGGAUUUUCUCUGGACCACAGGAGAAUAACUACUAUUUACACUAUGAAACAGGGACAAAGAGACCCAUAUCAACAUAAAUAGGUUUUCUUUAAAAAACACAGUCCCCUGGGGUUCCUGGAGCCCCCCAGACUCCAAGGAACCCCCUCGCUCAGUAGUUCCCAUGUCCAUGCCGCCGCCCAGCUCUGCACUGACCCAAACCCUGGCCCGCAGCCUCGCAGCACAGCCACUGAGCCAGCAGGAGGGGCCCAGGGCUGGAGGCUCCAGGAGCCAAAGCUGCCAUUCAUGCCGAGGUGGGAAAGAGGGACCCAUCGGAGGGAGGAAGGGUAGAGGGCGGAGGCCAUGCCCCAGCUAACCCCUGACCAUGCCAACAUAGUGCACACAGGCACACACACCACGCACACACACAGACAUGCUCACACACAUGCACACACACAUGCUCAUGCACAGAGCACAUACCACACAUGCACUCAGGCACACACAAUCACACAUGCUCAUGCACAGAUACCACACACAUACACUCAUGCACGCAUGCACACCAAAUGUGCUUACAUGCACAUUCAUGAGCUCAGACACAUGUAUGCA
rnacentral:lncRNA from 1 species